GACGAACGCUGGCGGCGUGCUUAACACAUGCAAGUCGAGCGGUAAGGCCCUUUCGGGGGUACACGAGCGGCGAACGGGUGAGUAACACGUGGGUGACCUGCCUUUAGCUCUGGGAUAAGCCUGGGAAACCGGGUCUAAUACCGGAUAUGACUCCGCGGCGCAUGUUGUGGGGUGGAAAGCCUUGUGCGGCUGGAGAUGGGCCCGCGGCCUAUCAGCUUGUUGGUGGGGUGAUGGCCUACCAAGGCGACGACGGGUAGCCGGCCUGAGAGGGCGACCGGCCACACUGGGACUGAGACACGGCCCAGACUCCUACGGGAGGCAGCAGUGGGGAAUCUUGCGCAAUGGGCGAAAGCCUGACGCAGCGACGCCGCGUGAGGGAUGACGGCCUCGGUUGUAAC
rnacentral:rRNA from 1 species